rnacentral:rRNA from 1 species
CCCUUAGAUGUUCUGGGCCGCACGCGCGCUACACUGACGAAUGCAACGAGCUUAUAACCUUGGCCGAAAGGUCUGGGUAAUCUCCAAAUUUCGUCGUGAUGGGGAUAGAUUAUUGCAAUUAUUAAUCUUCAACGAGGAAUGCCUAGUAAGCGCAAGUCAUCAGCUUGCGUUGAUUACGUCCCUGCCCUUUGUACACACCGCCCGUCGCUCCUACCGAUUGAAUGGUCCGGUGAAGCGUUCGGACCGUGGCCUUUGGACGGUUCGCCGUCUGUUGGCUGCGGGAAGUUCGUUAAACCUUAUCAUUUAGAGGAAGGAGCANUCGUAACA